UAACGCGUGGUCAACCUACCCUCGAGUGGGGGAUAACUAGCCGAAAGGUUAGCUAAUACCGCAUAAUACUGUAGCCGGCAUCGGCAUCAGUUGAAAGCAGCAAUGCACUCGUGGACGGGACCGCGUCCGAUUAGCUAGUUGGUGGGGUAAUGGCCUACCAAGGCUCCGAUCGGUAGCUGGUUUGAGAGAGCGACCAGCCACACUGGGACUGAGAAACGGCCCAG
rnacentral:rRNA from 1 species